AGACUUUCUUGGGUAGCCUGAGGUGGGGUGCUUUAGCUGGUUUGGUUGAAGGCGGUAGGGAGCAGGAUGGGUGGAGCUUUCUGUUCCAAAAGUUCCCCCCCUCCCCUCUGCAAAUGCCGUUGACAGAGUGCAGGCGGGAAGCUUCGGCUGGGGUAGAGAUGUAGCAUCAAACAUUCAUGGAUGUCCAGGGAGCGCGGGGCUGCUGGCCAGAGGUACUAGGAAGGCACAGGCGGGAACCCGACGAGGAUUCACCUUCCCCUGCCUUGGAAAGGGGCUGCUCACAAUGUAUGCUGGACCGUGGUGAGCCCUGAGGUGAUCACAAAAGAAGCUUGCCUUGAGCCCAUCUGUCCCCCGCUGCUGUCCACAAGAUGGAGAAGGCGGAAGCAACCUGAGGAGGCGUCUUUGUCUGUAAGGAUAGAAGGUCCAUUGUGGAGGGGAGAGAUACAGGAGCUAUAUAGUCGAGGCCCUACCAGCCCUGCGUCUCUUAUCUCCAGAAUUCUUUUACAGAAAAGAAAAAUAAACUUUUAUCGGGUUUAUGCCA